GAUUGAACGCUGGCGGCAGGCCUAACACAUGCAAGUCGAGCGGAUGAAGGGAGCUUGCUCCUGGAUUCAGCGGCGGACGGGUGAGUAAUGCCUAGGAAUCUGCCUGGUAGUGGGGGAUAACGUCCGGAAACGGGCGCUAAUACCGCAUACGUCCUGAGGGAGAAAGUGGGGGAUCUUCGGACCUCACGCUAUCAGAUGAGCCUAGGUCGGAUUAGCUAGUUGGUGGGGUAAAGGCCUACCAAGGCGACGAUCCGUAACUGGUCUGAGAGGAUGAUCAGUCACACUGGAACUGAGACACGGUCCAGACUCCUACGGGAGGCAGCAGUGGGGAAUAUUGGACAAUGGGCGAAAGCCUGAUCCAGCCAUGCCGCGUGUGUGAAGAAGGUCUUCGGAUUGUAAAGCACUUUAAGUUGGGAGGAAGGGCAGUAAGUUAAUACCUUGCUGUUUUGACGUUACCAACAGAAUAAGCACCGGCUAACUUCGUGCCAGCAGCCGCGGUAAUACGAAGGGUGCAAGCGUUAAUCGGAAUUACUGGGCGUAAAGCGCGCGUAGGUGGUUCAGCAAGUUGGAUGUGAAAUCCCCGGGCUCAACCUGGGAACUGCAUCCAAAACUACUGAGCUAGAGUACGGUAGAGGGUGGUGGAAUUUCCUGUGUAGCGGUGAAAUGCGUAGAUAUAGGAAGGAACACCAGUGGCGAAGGCGACCACCUGGACUGAUACUGACACUGAGGUGCGAAAGCGUGNGGAGCAAACAGGAUUAGAUACCCUGGUAGUCCACGCCGUAAACGAUGUCGACUAGCCGUUGGGAUCCUUGAGAUCUUAGUGGCGCAGCUAACGCGAUAAGUCGACCGCCUGGGGAGUACGGCCGCAAGGUUAAAACUCAAAUGAAUUGACGGGGGCCCGCACAAGCGGUGGAGCAUGUGGUUUAAUUCGAAGCAACGCGAAGAACCUUACCUGGCCUUGACAUGCUGAGAACUUUCCAGAGAUGGAUUGGUGCCUUCGGGAACUCAGACACAGGUGCUGCAUGGCUGUCGUCAGCUCGUGUCGUGAGAUGUUGGGUUAAGUCCCGUAACGAGCGCAACCCUUGUCCUUAGUUACCAGCACCUCGGGUGGGCACUCUAAGGAGACUGCCGGUGACAAACCGGAGGAAGGUGGGGAUGACGUCAAGUCAUCAUGGCCCUUACGGCCAGGGCUACACACGUGCUACAAUGGUCGGUACAAAGGGUUGCCAAGCCGCGAGGUGGAGCUAAUCCCAUAAAACCGAUCGUAGUCCGGAUCGCAGUCUGCAACUCGACUGCGUGAAGUCGGAAUCGCUAGUAAUCGUGAAUCAGAAUGUCACGGUGAAUACGUUCCCGGGCCUUGUACACACCGCCCGUCACACCAUGGGAGUGGGUUGCUCCAGAAGUAGCUAGUCUAACCGCAAGGGGGACGGUUACCACGGAGUGAUUCAUGACUGGGGUGA
rnacentral:rRNA from 1 species